rnacentral:tRNA from 1 species
ACUUAUAUAGUAUAUUUAUUACAUUUAACUUCCAAUUAAAAAAAUUAUUUUAAUUAAUAAUAUAAGUA